rnacentral:rRNA from 1 species
AACCUUUAGCAAAACAAAUAUUAAAGGCAACGCCUGCCCAGUGAACAAUUAAACGGCCGCGGUACCCUAACCGUGCAAAGGUAGCGUAAUCACUUGUCUAUUAAUUGUAGACCCGUAUGAAAGGCAAAAUGAGGGCCUAACUGUCUCUUAUAAUAAAUCAAUUAAACUGAUCUCCCAGUCCAAAAGCUGGGAUACCCACAUAAGACCAGAAGACCCUGUGAAGCUUAAACUAAACUAUUAAACCACAUAAUACCUCCUUUCGGUUGGGGCGACCUUGGAAAAAAAGAAAACUUCCAAACAAGUGACCUCCAUCACAUCAAAGGCCAACAAGCCAAUACUAGACCCAGCAUAGCUGACAACUGAACCAAGUUACUCCAGGGAUAACAGCGCUAUCUUCUUCAAGAGCCCAUAUCAAAAAGAAGGUUUACGACCUCGAUGUUGGAUCAGGACAUCCUAUUGGUGCAGCCGCUAUUAAGGGUUCGUUUGUUCAACGAUUAACAGUCCU